rnacentral:rRNA from 2 species
AACACCGCGUGAGUGAAGAAGGGUUUCGGCUCGUAAAGCUCUGUUGUUGGAGAAGAACGUGCGUGAGAGUAACUGUUCACGCAGUGACGGUAUCCAACCAGAAAGUCACGGCUAACUACGUGCCAGCAGCCGCGGUAAUACGUAGGUGGCAAGCGUUAUCCGGAUUUAUUGGGCGUAAAGCGAGCGCAGGCGGUUGCUUAGGUCUGAUGUGAAAGCCUUCGGCUUAACCGAAGAAGGGCAUCGGAAACCGGGCGACUUGAGUGCAGAAGAGGACAGUGGAACUCCAUGUGUAGCGGUGGAAUGCGUAGAUAUAUGGAAGAACACCAGUGGCGAAGGCGGCUGUCUGGUCUGCAACUGACGCUGAGGCUCGAAAGCAUGGGUAGCGAACAGGAUUAGAUACCCUGGUAGUCCAUGCCGUAAACGAUGAGUGCUAGGUGUUGGAGGGUUUCCGCCCUUCAGUGCCGGAGCUAACGCAUUAAGCACUCCGCCUGGGGAGUACGACCGCAAGGUUGAAACUCAAAGGAAUUGACGGGGGCCCGCACAAGCGGUGGAGCAUGUGGUUUAAUUCGAAGCUACGCGAAGACCUUACCAGGUCUUGACAUCUUGCGCUAACCUAAGAGAUUAGGCGUUCCCUUCGGGGACGCAAUGACAGGUGGUGCAUGGUCGUCGUCAGCUCGUGUCGUGAGAUGUUGGGGUUAAGUC